rnacentral:rRNA from 1 species
UACGUAGGGGGCAAGCGUUGUCCGGAAUUAUUGGGCGUAAAGAGCGUGUAGGCGGUCCGGUAAGUCAGCUGUGAAAGUCAAGGGCUCAACCCUUGAAUGCCGGUUGAUACUGUCGGGCUAGAGUCCGGAAGAGGCGAGUGGAAUUCCCGGUGUAGCGGUGAAAUGCGCAGAUAUCUGGAGGAACACCGGUGGCGAAGGCGGCAUCCUGGACCGGUAUUGACGCUGAGGCGCGAAAGCCAGGGGAGCAAACGGG